rnacentral:rRNA from 1 species
GACGAACGCUGGCGGCGUGCUUAACACAUGCAAGUCGAGCGGAGCGGCGAACGGGUGAGUAACGCGUGAGUAACUGCCCCCCUCUCUGGGAUAACAGUUGGAAACGGCUGCUAAUACCGGAUAGUGGGGGAUGACUCGCGUCCUAUCAGCUUGUUGGUGGGGUAGUGGCCUACCAAGGCGGUGACGGGUAGCCGGCCUGAGAGGGUGGUCGGCCACAUUGGGCUGAGAUACGGCCCAGACUCCUACGGGAGGCAGCAGUGGGGGAUAUUGCACAAUGGGCGCAAGCCUGAUGCAGCGACGCCGCGUGAGGGAUGAAGGCUUUCGGGUUGUAAACCUCUUUCGGUACAGAACGGGUAUGUGCAGAAGAAGCGCCGGCUAACUACGUGCCAGCAGCCGCGGUAAUAC